GACGAACGCUGGCGGCGUGCCUAAUACAUGCAAGUCGAACGCAGUGGGGACGGGUGAGUAACACGUGGGUAACCUCCCAUCAGAGGGGAUAACACUUGGAAACAGGUGCUAAACCGAUACUGAUGGAUGGACCCGCGGUGCAUUAGCUAGUGGGGGAGGUAACGGCUAACCAAGGCCACGAUGCAUAGCGGACCGUGGAGAGUGAUCAGCCACACUGGGACUGGAACACGGCCCAGACUCCUACGGGAGGCAGCAGGGGGGAAUAUUGCACAAUGGGCGCAAGCCUGAUGCAGCCAUGCCGCGUGUAUGAAGAAGGCCCUAGGGUUGUAAAGUACUUUCAGUCGGGAGGCGUUACCGACAGAAGAAGCACCGGCUAACUCCGUGCCAGCAGCCGCGGUAAUU
rnacentral:rRNA from 1 species